GUGUGCAGUGCCCUACCCAGCCAGGUGCAGUUCAUGUAGAAUCGGUGUACUGUGCCCUGUAUGGGUAGUGUAAGGCUCA
rfam:TPA: Bos taurus chromosome X, whole genome shotgun sequence.